GCCGGUGGAGACAUCACCUCGGUCGGCUUGCGCUUUAUAAUCCCGAUGAGGUACUCCUACCUUGUCCGCAGCAACUUACAUUCCCGAAAGAGUACCCGAGUGGCAUUUGACGUUUAUAGCUUUACAUUUGCUGUAAUUAUGUGGAUAAAUGUUAUGUGUAGGCUACCGUGUAUUUUAUAUUUUCAUUGAGCCUGGGCUACAGCCUAGCUAAAACCUUUUUUCUUUUUUUUCAGAUUCGCUGCUUGAUUGUGAAAAGUGUUUUGUUUUGUGUUAGUCAAUCCUCCCAUAGGCUAUGCCAUUUCGAUUCUUUAACCAGACUAUUGUUGAAAAAAUUAUAGCCUAGGCUUCUCGGUGUGUGUAUAUAGCCUAUAUUUAGCCUUAAUUGUAGCUAAAUAUUCACUCAGAUGACUUGCCUUUAUGCUGUUGCUAAGGUAAGGAAUUCUAUAUUUCCCAGCUCCUGAAGGGUAGAUAUCGGAAUUAAGUCAUUACAUUUAAGAAUAUUACAUUUCCGCGACUCGCUGCCGUCUUGAACAACUUCACGGGAGAGACAGACGCUAAUAAACCGGACAUUGCCUCUUUAAAGAAAGCCCCGGGUCAUUCGAAAAGCGCACUUUCUGCGUCGAGGAAGAAAACGAUGAAUGAAUUGCCAGACAAAAAGGGACAGUAAAUGUGGUAAGUUAUGGCAGCAAGUUGAAGGUGUGGAAAUCUCCAAAACUUUAGGGACAUUCCCAGCACAUCCUGCAUGUGGCCAUCCCUCUCCUCCCGGCUCCCUCUCUUCCCAUCAACCAGUUCUGGUUGCGCCUCUUCUGUGCUGCAGGGUGGGCAGAGAAUGGCCAUCAGGGAGAGAGGGUGAGACCUGUUGGCGCUGCCAGCCUGGGCAUUGGGCCCUCUGGGAGCCAUUGGCAUGCAGGGCAGCAUGUUUCUGUGAAGUGCAACAGGGCUCCAGUGUCCACACAGGUCAGGGGAGAGUGCCAGGGCGCGCUGGCAUGGCUCGCUUUGCUCGAACCCAUUCAUACACACCCAUAGUUUCAGAAUCAUGGCGGAUUUGGCUCAUCUCGAAGUAAGUGCCCACUGAAACACAGGAGGCUUGCUCGGAUGCACAUGUAGCAGCUUGCAGGGUGGACCACCCUCUCACUUGCUAUUCCUGCUUAUGCUAUUACAGGAUGUUGACAUUCAUUUUUCAAAGAAAAAGACAAAUCCUUAGCAAUCUCUGUGUAUAAGUACAUUCUGGUAAGUAUGAAACGCAUUGUAU